CGAGGGCCUGCAGACCCCCGUUUAAUGGCGCGUCCAUGUCAGGCUGAUAUCACAACGUUACAGUGCCACUGUCAUGAUGAAGCUGAUGUCACAAUAGCUCUCUGUCGCUUAAUUCACUCUUGAGUUAAGGAGAGCGUCUCUCCCUGAUAAAAUCCCAGGAGCUGCCCGAAAUCUGAGCAUUCCCAGGACACCAACGACCCCACCUGGACCCAGUGAUGCUCAGCCAGUGGUGAUCCCCCCCUAGAAUCCUGAAUCUGGCGUGUCUCAAGCAACUUCCCACGUUUCUCAAGAUUGAGGAAGGACCUUUUGAUGUUUUUAAAGCUUUUUUGUUCGUUUGUUAAUGUUGUUGCAAAGAGUGUGCAUAUCCAGCCUGACUAAAUUCUGUGCAGAUCGCAACGUCUGUUCUAUAAACUCCAGAGAUGGUCAGACAGGCUUUUAAUAUUUUAAACACUACAAGAUUUUCCAGAUGCUGUUAACAAGCCAGACUGUCCCACAAGCUCCCUAUCCUCUCAGUGCUCUCUCAUUCUUCACUGAACAUUUUACCACCCUUUCUGAACAAGGAGCGAGCCGACAUAAAAGAGUUCUGUUUGUUUUAAGAUGUGUUCUUGACUUUUAUGAUGUCACAAUAGCUCUCUGUCGCUUAAUUCACUCUUGAGUUAAGGAGAGCGUCUCUCCCUGUGUUUAACUGCUUGACACCCUAGAAACUAACAGCACCCUUGGGAGACACUGUGGUCAUUUUGGUCUCUCAGUCAGGUUUGCUGCUUGUGUGCUUUUUCCUGUCUCUCUUAAUUAAAUCGGUCGAUUCAGUGGCUUCCCUCAACACAUCACACCGCUGGGUGAGUAACGAGUUGCUUGUUGCUAUUUAAAACACAAACACAGCUGAUGAAGGGGGGUGGCAAGGAAGGGUGACUUUAUCAUGUUGUGUGUUUUCAGUUCUUCUGCUCGCUGUUCUCCACCUGCUGUUUUGGCCCUGUCCAGCAGGGGGAGUGUCAGUGUACUGCCCCACUUAAUCAGGCAAGCCUGAAAUUAAAGUGUUGAGGAUACCUGAAGAACAGGGAUAACAACAUAUGGGACCAACAGCCAAUUAUGCAAUGUAAAAAUCUAAUACUUCUGGGAUGCCUAUUAGAAAACUCAGGGUCUAAGUGCCCCGAUCUAUAGGAAUCUCAUUUCUUGAUGAGUAUUUAAUGCUGCUGUUUACGCUGGGGAUGUAAGAGCUGGUUAAUCAGCCUGCGUACCCUUUAACGUGCCCGCUACAUCCAUAUUUGAAUUAUUCAGAGAUUCCUUAAAGCGUUUCUUGUGUUUCUGUGAAUAAUUGAAGAUGCAGAGAAACAGGUAAGAAAAAGAAGGCAGUGAUAAGGCCUCAAAUAGAGCAUUAAAGAGGUCUGGCAGGCAAAGCUCUGCUGGCCGAUCAGUAAAUAUUAGAUGCAAUUCUUGCAUUCAUUUGUAACUGGGCUUAUUGACAGAAGCUCUGACUCCCGAGAGCUGUUGAGAGAAGGGUUUCUUUUCCUUGUUAAAUUGUUCUGCACGGCUCACAGUAAUAAUAAGAGACCGCCAUUCUCGAAUUGACCAAAGAGAACUGACUUUUGAAAGAGCCCCCAUCUGCGACUGUGAAAUUGUCAUCUUCCAGUAGCGCUCCAGCCCCUAUCAUAUGAACAGCCCACAUGAGGUUGCUGUUCUGCAUGCUGCAAGACGCCAAGCUGAUGAGUUUGUGCCUGCUCCAAAUUGUGCUUGGUGUGGUAUAGGUGGCUGGGUUUGCGUUGCAUUACCAUUGUGGGGAAUCUGUUCAGCUCAACAUGAUAGAGCUUAAAUAAGAGGACCCCCUAAACUGGGAACUGAGUAAUAUACCACAAUUAACUUCGUGUGAGCUGUUGUUAGAAUUUCUUUUUUGCUUAGACAAGCUGAGGCUGUUGGUGCCACCUGUCUACCUUCAUUUGUGGGGGUGACAGAUCCAGGAGCGCUGUUUGAAACUUAAAUGCAGUAAUAUUUCCAAAGCAGAUCUGACAUUCUCGGUUGUUGUGGACACCGUCGCUGCGUUGGUUGGGAACCCACAGCCGAUCCAAAGUGACGUUCUUUUGACAAAGGACGGGGAGUGCUCACGUUAACUGUUCCAGAACAGACCAGUGUGUCUGCCGAAGUAAACCCCGCGCAAUCCGAAGGGACAAGGCCUCAGGUGUAACAAUGGCUCUGUCGGACUCUCGGUGAUCUCCUGACUUGUGUGCACGCAGAGACUGGCUGCCGGAUCUGGAUUAGUGUGUUCCUGAGUGGAGCAUGGCAGUACUGCAGUGCCUGUUCAGUGCAGGGCAGCUCCACACUUCCCACAGGCACUUUCUUAUCUAGAGGCUCCCGGCGGUGCGGCCCUAAUUACAUAACUACUUAGUUAACUGGCUCCUUAAUUUAAUGAAUAUGUUAAAAAAAAACAAGAGGAGAGGAAACAGUGUUUGACAAUUUUAAUUAUUUCUGCUCUAGUGAAGUGACUCAGCGUUGCACUGCCUAUUUGUUUUUUGGCUUUCUCUUUACGACAGGGCUCCUUGCUGGAUCCUGCGCUGAGAGACUCCCCGUCCGCCUCUCGCAAGAGGGCUCAGGAGGCCCCGUCUUUGCUUGUGACCUUUCUCUGGCAGCAGCUAAGUCUCCCUGCUUUGGAAGUGAAUGCUACAAGAGAUCCCACUCCUGCAGAGGGAUGGGAAGUUCAUCCCCUAUCCCCUCUGGAAAACCGGGCUGGGUUUGGGCUGUAGGUGUUUCAGAGCUCUGCAGCUUGUACCCCACUCUUCCUGCUCUGGCUGGUAUUGUGUGGGAGGUCCCCCCUUUUUCCACCAGUGAGAGCAGAGGAAGGCAACCCUGCCAUACAGACUAUGCAUGCUGAGGCAGCUCCCCACCUGAACUUCUGCCGUACAGGUCCCUGAAAACACGCAGUGAGCAGAGAGAGCUCUAGAAAACCUCCGCCAGUUAAGCAACGGAUUGAUGCUUCGGAGUCAUUCCAUGGAAUGGAAACCUCAAGACCCUCCUGCUCUGACGGCCAGGGUCAUGGACAGGGGGAGCAUUACCUCAGGUGCCUCCCGUCCUCCAUCUGCAGCUCCUGCCCAGUAGUGUUGACCUGCUUGUUGCUGGGAGCCGGGGGGUCAACUAGCUGAAACGCUGAGGGAGUGAAGCCGAGGGCGGACUCCUGUAGCAGGAGAAAAAAAAACACAGAAAAGGACAAAAAGGGAAAAACCGCUUUGCACAGCCUAUUUAACGAGGGCCAGCCUGGGGGAAAAGGAGUGAGGCCAAAAGCAAUAAGAAACUCAGCCUGCCACCGUGAAUCCUCACAGCGGGACAGGAAAAAAGAAGCAAAGACGCGGCCUCAACGCUCUCGUCACAGUCCCCGCUGGGACUGUUGCUGGGAGUUCCUCCCCUUGCGGGGCUCUGCUCGUCCCUCCGGGGAGGAGCUCAGUGUGUCUUCCCCACAGCUGGGGCUCGUCCUUAACUAGCCAGGGCAGCUGUGGUUGCUAAGGCAACGUCCAGGGCUCCGCCUCCACACUGACCACGCCCCCCGGAAUGCCACACACCCUUGCUUCUCACAGCCGCCCCUCCCCCCUGCCCCGCCCACUCCGACUCGGCCCGCAGCCUUGUGUCCCCACCCUACCCCCCCCCAGGGGAAGCAUCUGCCCUGCAUCCCCAGGGCCCCACCUCUGCUUCUGUAGACGGCCUCGUCCCUUCGUCCCCACCGGGGUCCCAGGGAUGAAAGCACAGCCCUGUGCAUGUGUGCGCUGGCAGCACAGGAGACAGAGAGAGAGGAAAACGCACUCUCUCACCGUGAGUCACUCACCGAGGUUUAUUUCUGCUUCUGAAAUAACAGGUGGGUGUUAAAUCACCAUGGAAGCACUGCUAUUACAGUAUAAGAAGUACCUGAUUGUAUACCCUGAUGCAGUGAAAGGCGCUUUGUGAUUGAAUCUUUUGUACCGAAUAUGUAGGAAGAUGUGUCUCAGUUACGUACAUUUUCAUCAUUUUUUAAUAUUUUUUUUUACCAGGCAGUUGCAUUGUACUAUGAACAUAAUUAUUGGUUUUAACUUUUGUCCUGCACAUAACAUUAAUCUAAGUGUGAUGCCUGUCUGGGAAAAUGUUAGGAAAGCCUGCCUGAGCUCUGUUUGCAGUGCAAACAGCCUCAAAAGCAGUGUUCCCUUCCUUCAUUUGGAAGCCAUGAGAAGAUUUGCAAAAAUCUUUGUCCUCUUUCACUUAUUGAGACACAAGAGCUCAAGGUAACUCUGUAGGGAAGGAAGCUAUCCUGCCCACUGGUGCUUGUUAAUUUCCUGUACACUAAAGCAAUUCUGUCACAGGGCGACAGAUAAUUCAGAGGUGCACUUUCUAGCGUUGGUGCAGAAUUGGCUUUUAAUACAUUUCCAGUGGUGUCCUUGUACUCGAAACGUGAUGUGAAACAGCGAUCAGCGUCACCUCUCUUGUAUUUCCUUUAACGUUUGCAAAAACCAGUUUCAUCCCAGAACGUUGUCUGUCGGACUGAAAAGAUUAAGUUCCUUCGUAAGGAAGGGGGCAGACGUUCAGCGCCUCUAGAUCGCUUGGCUGCCAUUAACUAAUCAAUCUCGUCCAGUAGUUUGAAUCCUUCCCUCAGCUCCUUAAAUAAGUCAUGGUGCUCCUUUAUGGCCUUGCUGCAAAACCCUCUCUGUCCCUCUUCUUUAGUUAUUUUAACGCAGAGCCUUGUGCAGCACUGCAGAUGUGCAGAACGUACAGUGACCAUACAGAUGUGCAGGGUGACACGCUGGCCGCUGUGUCAGCAAGUGCACAGCACUGAGAGUGAAGCAAGAGAUCCGUCAUUCACAGCAAAAUGACAGAUUCGCACAUUACACUGAGGGAUUUGUUAGCUGCCUGCUGUAAAACCCUGGAAAUCGGACACUAGAAAUGAGUAAUAUGGCAGCACAGUUACUCAUCUUUGUAGGAGUCUCUGGCCAUUGAUAUUGUGCACAAAGGAGGCUUUUCUAUGAUUUGUUUCAGCUAUUAGAAGGACCUCAGAAGUGCUAUUCUCUGGAUUCCUGCUUUUAUGACCAGACAACGAAACAAGGCUAAAGACCAAAAAACUUCUGAGGCUGGAGAAGAGUUACUUGAUAGUGUCCUCCUUCUGUGCACAUCGAAGCACCUAAUUUGAAGGCAUUACUAGGUUACAAACCCCUAAGGUGUCGUCCUCACCAUACACAGCAGGUAGCUGAUUAAUCCUGUUCAUGAAUAAGCGCACAUUAUUUUAAGACGACCGACAUGACAGCCCUCAAAGAUUUACCGGUGUAUCAAAAAAGCAUCCUUAAACAUCACUGGACAGCCACUUCUGUCUGCUUACCUUGGGCCUUGUGAGGGUAGUGGGUGAAACAGUCACAUGAAGCACGGUGACCUCUAACACCAAACAUCACUGCACUGCUUUGCAAAGGUUUUAG